UACGGGAGGCAGCAGUGGGGAAUAUUGCACAAUGGGCGAAAGCCUGAUGCAGCUAUGCCGCGUGUAUGAAGAAGGCCUUAGGGUUGUAAAGUACUUUCAUCGGGGAGGAAAAAACAAAACUAAUAAUUUUAUUUCUUGACGUUACCCGAAAAAGAAGCACCGGCUAACUCCGUGCCAGCAGCCGCGGUAAUACGGAGGGUGCUAGCGUUAAUCAGAAUUACUGGGCGUAAAGAGCACGUAGGUGGUUUUUUAAGUCAGAUGUGAAAUCCCUGGGCUUAACCUAGGAACUGCAUUUUGAAACUGAAAUACUAGAGUAUCGUAGAGGGAGGUAGGAAUUCUAGGUGUAGCGGUGAAAUGCGUAGAUAUCUGGAGGAAUACCUGUGGCGAAAGCGGCCUCCUAAACGAAUACUGACACUGAGGUGCGAAAGCGUGGGGAGCAAACAGGGAUUAGAUACC
rnacentral:rRNA from 1 species